UCGCUCUUCAACGAGGAAUCCCUAGUAAGCACAAGUCAUCAGUUUGUGCUGAUUACGUCCCUGCCCUUUGUACACACCGCCCGUCGCUACUACCGAUUGAAUGGCUUAGUGAGGCCCUCGGAUUGGGUUUCGAAGACUGGCAACAGUCUUUGGAUUCUAAGAAGUUGGUCAAACUUGGUCAUUUAGAGGAAGUAAAAGUCGUAACAAGGUUUCCGUAGGUGAACCUGCGGAAGGAUCAUUACCGAUUUGAGCGAGCCUGGUCUUUUUGAUUAUGGUCUCGCGAAACUUUGUAUUUAAAACCCCACUCUUGUUAAUUAUAAAACAAUAUUAUAUUAUGAUAAAUAAAGAUCACUUUCAACAACGGAUCUCUUGGCUCUCGCAUCGAUGAAGAACGUAGCGAAGUGCGAUAAGUAAUGUGAAUUGCAGAAUUCCGUGAAUCAUCGAAUCUUUGAACGCAAAUUGCACUCUCUGGUAUUCCGGAGAGUAUGCCUGUUUGAGGGUCAGUUUAAAUAAAAAUCGAAGUGUUGCUUUUUGUGACGCAUCGGAAUUGGGUUAUCUUUGAUCUUGAAUAAAGGUUUAAGAGACCUAAAAUUGACAUAUUUGCGCAUCUCAGACGUACAUAAAGAAUAUUUUUUUAUCCGUCCAGAGUUGCCAACUCUUAUUAGGUAUGACCAUGUUGUUUGUGGCAUUGUACCUAUAAUAUUACUCAUAUUUUGACCUCAAAUCAGGUAGGAAUACCCGCUGAACUUAAGCAUAUCAAUAAGCGGAGGAAAAGAAAAUAACAAUGAUUCCCCUAGUAACUGCGAGUGAAGAGGGAUAAGCUCAAAUUUUAAAUCUGUUGGGUUUUACCUAACCGAGUUGUAAUUUGAAGAGGCGUUUUCCGCGUUUUUUGGUUAGUCCAAGUCCUUUGGGAUAAGGCAUCAUGGAGGGUGAGAAUCCCGUUCGGCUAACCGAAAUUCGUUUUAUGAUACGUCUUCUAAGAGUCAAGUUGUUUGGGAUUGCAGCUUAAAAUGGGAGGUAAAUUUCUCCUAAGGCUAAAUAUUGGCGAGAGACCGAUAGCGAACAAGUACCGUGAGGGAAAGAUGAAAAGUACUUUGAAAAGAGAGUUAAAUAGCACGUGAAAUUGUUGAAAGGGAAACGAUUGAAGCCAGUCGUACCUACGGGUAAUCAGCCUUUCGGGAGCGAUUCUGUGGGUUUUUGAGGAGCUUCACGGCCCUCGGGUCUGCAUAUUCGUACCCCUUGGGUGUACUUUCCCGGUGGUAGGUUAACAUCAAUUUCGGUCGUCAUAAAAUGACGGGAGGAAUGUAGCUUCGGUCUCGUACUGAAGUGUUAUAGACUCUGGUAGAUGUGAUGACCGGGAUUGAGGAUUGCAACGGAUACCCUCUGGGCUACCCGCCUGAUCUCUGAUGGUUGCUCUGGUACCGAAAGCGUGCUUACGGUCAUCAAAGUUGAUUGUCAAAAGGUUAGAACGGGUUAAAUUCGUUAAGGAUGUUGACGUAAUGGCUUUAAACGACCCGUCUUGAAACACGGACCAAGGAGUCUAACAUAUAUGCGAGUGUU
rnacentral:rRNA from 1 species